AGCAGCCGCGGUAAUUCCAGCUCCAAUAGCGUAUAUUAAAGUUGUUGCAGUUAAAAAGCUCGUAGUUGAAUUUCGGGAUUGGCACAUCGGUCGUGCCUUAAGGGGUGUGAACUGGUGUAGUCAAUUUCUCACCUUCUGGAGAACCGCGAUGUCCUUAAUUGGGUGCCGCGAGGAACCAGGACCUUUACUUUGAAAAAUUAGAGUGUUUAAAGCAGGCAUUUUUGCUUGAAUACAUUAGCAUGGAAUAAUAAAAUAGGACGGCAUGAUUCUAUUUUGUUGGUUUCUAGGAUCACCGUAAUGAUUAAUAGGGAUAGUUGGGGGCAUUAGUAUUCAAUUGUCAGAGGUGAAAUUCUUGGAUUUAUUGAAGACUAACUACUGCGAAAGCAUUUGCCAAGGAUGUUUUCAUUAAUCAAGAACGAAAGUUAGGGGAUCGAAGACGAUCAGAUACCGUCGUAGUCUUAACCAUAAACUAAUGCCGACUAGGAAUCAGACGAUGUUAAUUUUAAU
rnacentral:rRNA from 1 species